AUCUGUUGGUUGCAUCAGAUAGUCAUGAGGCUCAGUCCUGGUAUUUGUGCCCAGUUGAUCACCAUGCACAAAGGUAAGCACACUAAAGAAUCAUUUGCCUUUCCUAGGGCCGGGUGAAAAUUCUGUCGGGUUACUUCCUAGCUGUGCACUUACUCCAUGUGGCACUUACUAUGCCUCCCAUGUGGUGAGUGCAGGCAGGACAAAUGGCUCCUUUGCAGGCUGUUGGAAAGGCCUUUGCCUGUGGGGCUGUUUCUCCUAGGCUUCCAAUGAUACAGUGCACUGUUUAUCUCCAUUUUCCAAGCUUUGGAUAACAGACACUCAGAUCCUAGAUGGUGCCCCAGCAGCACACAGGUCGUCAGUUGGAGACAUAGCACCUGGGCAUCACAAAAGCUGUGCACCCUUGGGGCUCAGGGGACUUCUAUUUCCACUGACAGCAGAGCCAUCUUACUUCAGCUCCAGACUGUAUUUGCUUACUUGCAGAAAGAAAACAUGCCACAGAGCAGAUCACAAGGAAAGUCUAAAGGGCUUCCGCACCGAGCGCUACUGUAUUUAAAGCCAUCUAGACAGCAAACACAGACCAGGUAGACAGGAUGGAAGGUUGGCGGGGGAAAGGGAAAAUCAACAAUGGCAGUGUCAAAGUCCUUGGAGCAAAAGCAAACCACACAUGGAAUUUCAUCAGGGAUUGUUGCAAUCGGGCUUCGUUUUUAAAGACGGUCAGUGGAGAAGAAAACAGUCAGCCAUACAUCUUCUUCUCUCUCAGGGGGAAGGGAGCCCUCACUCUUGUGCUGGGUUCUGUUUGUAGAUCUGCUAGCCACACAGCAAGGAGGAACUUACACUGACCAGCAGGUGGGAGCACCUGCCUUGUUCCUCAAGGGAUGCGGAGGCUCAACCUCAGCCCUCGGCUGUUUCCAAGGCAACGGGCGGGCAUUCCUGGAGAUGAGGGGCAGCCCUGGGCCUUUCCAGAGGAAUAUUUUCACAAGCUUUUGUGUGCAUCCAUGUACCCCACACAGGGCUGAAAACUAGGUAAUGUGACAACGUCUUGGAAAGCCGACCAGCUGCGAGAAAGCUCACGCCUCUGCUCUUUCCUCCAGGAGAUUAAUACAACGUACACAAGCUUGUACAGCUUGCUGUUUGAGUCAGUGCUCCUGCCUAACAUAUCCUUCCAGACGGUACUUCUCAUCAGAGGUGUUUACUCUCUGGGUCCCCAGAGACAGCACAGAGUAGACAAUAUGACACAAUGAAACAUUCUGCUAACUCUCGCCCCCACCUGUCCGAAUAGCCUGCUGUUAUGGCCAGUGGACUCUGGGCAGGGAGGCUGCACGGUAGACAGGCCUGGGAGAUUUGUAGGCGAUGAAUCUCUUUAGUUGUGGACUGCUUUGGUUUUUGGUUAAGGCUUGGAGACAGAGGAAUAGUCACUGAGUCAGCAGGCCAAAUGUGAAAGAGGGUACUAUUGGCCACUGCUGCGGUUUGCACAAUAUGUUCCUGUUGGUCAUACCAGUCUUGCCAAAGUGCUGACUCUCUCCCUGCCUCUGGAACCCACAGGAAGUGCAGGAUUAGAGGUCAUUUUUCAGUAUGGGACCUACACUGCUCGCCAGCAAUGCCCGGAGGAAGGUUAGACUUUGUGGGAGUCCCAGCUUUUUAGCAGUCUGUGAAAUCAAUUCCUGCAGUUUGUAGCCAGGGACCCCUGACCUAGAGAUGGCAAAGGGCAGAGAACCUUCUGCAUGAGACCUAACCUGCCUUCUCGGCACACUUACAUGGCCAGAGAGAAAACCUAGACAGGGAGGCUGGGAGAUCACUGCUGCCUAACGACUGCCCACAUCCUGUAGCCUAAACCAUUUCCCUCAUUUCAAUUAAGAUAUCACUGAAAAGCUAAUUUCCUAUAAAGAAUUCAAAGAUGAGACAAAAGAGGAAAAGUUCCUGCUCUUAAGCAAUGCUUAUUCUGCCCUGGUGCAUUUCUCUACAAUGUUUGCUCUGCACAGUUUUUAUGGAAUUGUGACAGUGACACUCUGCCCAUCUCAUCCCACCAAACUUUUAGGCACACAUUUCACUUGCCCGUUACCUCUGGUUUGCUGGGCAGAGACUACUGAAGGAGGAGGGUAGAGAAGUAGAUUUGGAAGCAAAAGCCAAAACCAAGAAUCUGUUUCUUCUACGAGUCCCAGGAGCAGAGCGGCCUGUGGAACCUUUCCUGCUUUGAUAUUUUGUUCUCAUCAGACAUGAGCUGAAGCCACAGGCGUACAGGGCCAGGCUGAGUGGGCACCCUGGAGACCAUGGCAAUGUACUGGCUCUCCAAGAUGCUUCUGCGCCAUGUUAUCCCCAGGGUAUCUGAGAUUCACUCCUAAGACCACAGGAAUUAGCAUUGUGGUCCCAGGAAAUCCAUUCUCUCUGUUCCAGACCUCUUGAGGGUCUGUGAGUCAGAGAUAAUAAUUGCUCCACUCAGCUUCUGGGCUUGCUAUGAGAAAUAAAAUCGGGCAAUAGAAAGGAAUUGCCUUGUGAGCGAGGUGAGGCACAUCUUUCUUUGUCAUAUGGUUUCCUCUUCCAGGCAUAUAACAUUAGGAAUUCCAAACACUGAGCAUGUUCUAGACAACAUGAAAACACUGUUUUAAUCAUGAAUACAGUCGACUCCUAUGCUGCCAUUCAAAGCCGUCUUUUUAUUAAGCAGAGCAAUUACAGGCACUUGUAAAAACAUGCUUCAUUUACGGAACCACAGAAAUAAUUGUAAAAAUCUUACACAGAAAGCUAUCCAGUCAGUUGGGAAGAAGAAGGGGUUUGGUGGGAAGGGGCGGGGGGAUGAGAGAUGGUAAUUGGGGUUGAAAACGAUCAAAUUAUUAUAUAUUUUUUGGAUUUGACAAUGACACUGUUUAUUUGUCCCCAGAACUUUGCAUGGGUCACAUCAUGGUAUUCAUUACCAGAAUCCACAUCAAGACAUGUAACAAAGUGACCUUCGAAUUAGAGCUGUGGGUGCAUGUUUCAAAUUUUUAAAAAUAAACUUUAUUAUAAAAC
rnacentral:lncRNA from 1 species